UACGUAGGGUGCAAGCGCUAAUCGGAAUUACUGGGCGUAAAGCGUGCGCAGGCGGUUUCGUAAGUCUGUCGUGAAAUCCCCGGGCUUAACCUGGGAAUGGCGAUGGAGACUGCGAGGCUAGAGUUUGGCAGAGGGGGGUAGAAUUCCACGUGUAGCAGUGAAAUGCGUAGAGAUGUGGAGGAACACCGAUGGCGAAGGCAGCCCCCUGGGUCAAAACUGACGCUCAUGCACGAAAGCGUGGGGAGCAAACAGG
rnacentral:rRNA from 1 species